ensembl:lncRNA
AUGUAUGUUUAUUUUAGAAAACAUAAAGAUGGGAGGAACUCAAGAUGGCGCUGUGAGAACAAUCCAGGAUUGAAGCUCGCGGUUAAUCCACGGAGAGGCAUGUCAGCCAUGCUCCAAGCAGCCACAGCAAGUAUUCAAGGGAGUCAUUUUCAGGAAUUUCUGAUGCUUUGUUUGAUACUGAAACCAAAGUGGAUCUUUGCAAAACUGAGGGAGAAGUGAAGAGAAAGAUUGCUGUUGCAGCCUUCACAGUGCAGGCAGCUUCGGAGGCUUUGAAAGAAGCAGCCUGAGAGGAAUCUUUAGCGAACCCAUAUAGAAUUUUUGUGGUAUAUCACUCAGAAAGACUCAUCAUGGUAUAUUGAUGAAGUUUAAAUUAGUAUAUUAGAAAUAAAGCUAGACAUUAUAUACAGUCAUGUGAGUGCUUAUAUAUUUACCUGUGUAUAUAUUUUUCUUUUAUUUUCUUGUUAUGGACUAAAAAUAUAAAACAAUUUAUAAUUAGACAAGGUUAUUCUGAAAUGGAAGAAUCAACUCAGUAUUAAAUCGAAGAGGAAUGGGUAAAUAUGGUAAAACUCUCAUCUGGCAUUAUCAGGGAAUCAAGUCUAAUCUGUUCAUGUCACUUCACACAUAGAAAAACAUCAGUAUGUCAUAGAGCACUCUGGGGAACAUGCACACCUGCUCCAAGCCAGAGGCCUCAUGCCCUGCCUAGCCUCCCAGGGCUCAGAGGAUCACUAUCUCAGCACAUGGUUGAGAAACUAAUUAAAUUACACUUUUAGUAAAUGUAAUCACUCUAUAGCAUAAGAAAUAAUUUUUUAUUAAAUGUAUUUUAUUUACAUAAAGCACUAUCAUAUAACACACAAGGAUAGAGAAAAGUAGUAAUGAAAUGAACAUUUGUGAACCUACUAGCUAUAUUAAGAAAAUAAUAUUUUCAAUAUCUUUGGGUCCCCCAUGUAUUCAUAAUGGUUGUGCUUUUUCACUAUCUUGAAUUGUAUCUUUAUUUCCUAUGUUAUUCUUUAUGAUUUUAUCACACAUGGCUAUAUUAUUUACAUGUUUUAUGUUUUUGUUUUAUGUAGUUUGCUAUUUUUUUAUAAAUGAAAUCAUGCCAUGUAUAUUUUUAUGGUACUUAAUUUUUUUCCACAGAUCUUUAAGGGUUUAGACAGAUAGAUAGAUAGCAUUUAUACAAAUGAAAGUAAGAUUCAUGGUCUAUCAAGACAGAGAAAACAUAUAAUAAUGUGAAUAGGGAAAGUUAAUAUGAAGAAUGACUAAUUAUAAGAGAAUUUGAGCAAUGGAAUAUUGUCUACUAAAAUGUAAGGAGAAGUCUAAAUAAUACGUGAUGAGCACAUAUAAGGAAUUGCCAUUGUUUCCAGGGUGAAGUUUGAGAAGCCAGUGAAGAAUCCCCUCAUACCUUGGCCUCACUGAAUGUUAACAAGUUGCUGUGGUGUUGCACGUGAAAAUUUUGGUUUAAAUCCACACUUCAGGACUCCCUGGAAACUUGCCUUCUGGGCCACUUGUAAAGCUGUUUAGGAAGAAAUGUCAUCUCAGAGGGGCUCCACUGCAAGUUUGAAAAAAGGCCAGUAUCAGAAGAAGCUCUUGGCUGCUGAGUUCUCCUGGCCACCAUGAAUUUGAAGAAGUGAGUGCUAUAGCAGCAGCCUUAACUACAGAAUCUGGUAACUGGUGUACCCCUGCAUACCAUCUGGCCCAGAUACAGGAGAUGUCAUUUCCAAAGCAGAUUGGAAGCACAUUUUUGGAAUUUCUCUCCAAUGUCUUCUACUCACAAAGAUUGACAUCUUAACACUUGGGAAAGAAAAAAAAUAUUUAAAGGAUCCAGAUCUAUUAAUGUAAAUAAUCAUGAGUGAGUUUGUAGUGGAUAACCCAAAGUUGGGUAAGUGGUGCAUAAUAAAUUUAUUCAUUUUCUGAUGAUGUACAUUGGAUUUCUUUUUAUAUUUUGGUUUUGUGAGCAUGUCUGCUCAUGCAAAUAUUCAAGAGAUUCUCUUUCCUGACAGCAUCUUCGGGUAGAUGGAAUAUCUGGGUUAUAAAUUGGUGGAUUGUCAAUUCUACUGAGCAAUGCCACUUACUGUUUUAAGG